GCGGGUUUAGCUCAGAUGGGAGAGCGUCAGACUGAAGCAACACUUCAUCAUCUAUCUGAAAGUCAUGUGUUCGAUCCACAUAAACCGCA
rnacentral:tRNA from 1 species